rfam:Camelus ferus unplaced genomic scaffold scaffold118, whole genome shotgun sequence.
GAGGGUGUGGCUCAGCGGUAGGUUGUGCGCUUAGCAUGCAUGAGGUCCUGGGUUCAAUCCCCAGCACCUCCA